rnacentral:lncRNA from 1 species
GCCCUAUGGUAUGGUGUUCACUCUGAUAUUCAUUGAUGCUGGGACUGACCUGGAUGGUGAGGACUUCAAAUCUCUUACUCACACAGAUUAUUACACCAUUCACUCACUGCAUCGCAUGAGUUACUAAAAAGUGAAUGGUCAGUGGGUUAGGGAAGCCGAGGGGAUUCCUGGUCAUGUUUCUGGAUCAUCUUCUUCAUCCCCAUCAGAUUCUGUCGAUCCAUCUUCACCAGCACCUGCAGCUAGACCUUCUUCACCCCCAC